UACGUAGGGAGCGAGCGUUGUCCGAAGUUACUGGGCGUAAAGCGCGCGUAGGCGGGCCAUUAAGUGAGAGGUGAAAUUCCAGGGCUCAACCCCGGAACUGCCUCUCAUACUGUUGGUCUUGAGUGAGGUAGAGAGAAGUGGAAUGGCUGGUGUAGCGGUGAAAUGCGUAGAUAUCAGUCGGAACACCGGUGGCGAAGGCGGCUUCUUGGGCCUUACUGAGCUGAGGCGCGAAAGCCAGGGGAGCGAACGGG
rnacentral:rRNA from 1 species